UAUACAUAAUAUAAUAUAACCGCUGUCCACUAUCUGCUAUUUAUAAUAAUCAGGUGCCUACCAGCUAUUUCGUCUAGAAAUUCGUACGAUAUAGUCCCACAUAAUAUUAAUAUUAGGUACCCCUAUUCGCCAAGCGAAUAAGUUUCAAAUUUAUUUUUUUGGCUCAGCAAAAUAUACAAUUUAUUUAUUUGACGACGGAAUUUAUCCAUACGAAUCGUUAAUCGCAGUAACCGACUUCGUGUCAACCCGUUUGGCCGCGCGUACGUGUCCGUAUAUUGACUUCAUAAUAUAUAUAGUUUUAAGUUUUAAUAAAGUCUAUUCGAUACAUAUGUAUUGUAUUGCAGUCGUCGUUACUGCAAUAAUAAUAAAAUAUUUUCGUUUUAUCACCGUCGCGUAAAUAAUCACAACACAGCAGAUAAAUCGUUUUUUUUUUUUUACCGAAUGAUAACAAUAUAUCGCCGUGGGCGUAACGUUCUUUUUUUUCGUUUUUCGAUUACGCAUAGGUAUAUACAGUCUUGUGGCCAAUAAGAUCGAACCACACGACACUUUUCAAUCGAAUCGCGUUGGCUGAUAAUGUCCUAAUAACAUGACACAUCUCGUCGAUAUACCGACGCAAUAAUUCGUCCGUCGUAAUAUAUAAAUAUUUUCCAAACGCUCACGAAAUGCCAUCACCGUGGUCGGCCGCACACGCACGAGCGACUUCUGCACCACUAAAAACUUACUGCCGUCGUCGUCUCGUCGAGUACAUUAUAUUAUUUUGCAACGAUAUGCGUACGUGUACCUACCUAUAUAAUAAUGUUAUUGCUGGCGAAGCGACGUGUCUACCAUAUAUAUACCGACCACGCUAGACGAAAACGUCACGAACUCGACAUUAUCGUAAGAAAUAAGUAUACUUGCGGGAUAUACGCGGUGGCAUAUUAUAUGGAUAUACACGGGAGAGGCGGAAAAAAUGGCGUUUCGAGUAUAUAGGUGCAGUGCGCAUUUUUAAUGGAUUUUUCGACGACGACGCGACGUCGCGACGUUCGGAAAGCCGAAUUACCGUGAGUUGUCGGGCGACCGCGGUCGAAUUUCAGUUGAUACCUACAUCGAAUACGUCUCAAAAGAAGCCAUAUAAACACCUUUCUCGCAGGGAUGUUCGUCGGUUAUCGAAUAACACAACCCAAACUGCACGUAAUACACUUCAAUACGUAACAUACGAAGCGCGACGAUGAGGCAAUAAUUGUUAUUCGAGCUCAUUUAAAUAUUCCGAUGAUGAAAAUAAUAAUAAUAAUAAUAGUUUGUCAACAAUUUUCAGUAACGGAAUACAGAAUAAUUAUUAUUCUGUAAUUCGAAAUGGAUAUCUCCCCUGCAACGGUCGACGUCGUGACUUGGAAGAAUCUUCGGCGGGAAAAGAAUAAUUUAUGCAAAUUUAUAUGUUGCAGUGGCAACGAAAUCGUUGAGUAUAGGUACAACGAUGAUUAUGAUAUUGUUAUACGUAUAAAAUUAUACAGGUAGCUAUAUGUAAUUUUCUCGUAAUAAUUGUCGUAUAGCUACAUCAUCUAGUAUCACAAGUACUUGGUAACCAAUAAAAACCGUGAAACCAAAAUA
rnacentral:lncRNA from 1 species